UACGUAGGGGGCGAGCGUUGUCCGGAAUGAUUGGGCGUAAAGGGCGCGUAGGCGGCCUGCUAAGUCUGGAGUGAAAGUCCUGCUUUCAAGGUGGGAAUUGCUUUGGAUACUGGGAGGCUGGAGUGCAGGAGAGGAAAGCGGAAUUACCGGUGUAGCGGUGAAAUGCGUAGAGAUCGGUAGGAACACCAGUGGCGAAGGCGGCUUUCUGGACUGAAACUGACGCUGAGGCGCGAAAGCGUGGGGAGCAAACA
rnacentral:rRNA from 1 species